GGAUGUGAGGGCGAUCUGGCUGUGACAUCUGUCACCCCAUUGAUCGCCAGGGUGGAUUUGGUUGAAUUGUUGGCUAGGUGGGCGUCCCUUUCCUCCCUCACCACUCCGUGUGUGUCCUUCCCGAAGCUACAUACUCGAUGGACGAGGACAACCUUCCCUGAAUAGAGACUGGGCUUCGGCCAAGGGUAUACGAGUAGCUGCGCUCCCCUGCUAGAACCUCCAAACAAGCUCUCAAGAAAUAAGACCCAGUUUCGGGUCCUCUGUUACAGGACUAAGAUGGACUAAAUGUGGCAACUAGAAUAUGCAGAGGUCCCUAUGAGUAAAGACACAGUGGCACCACAGAAACCCAAGGAUGAACCUUCU
ensembl:misc_RNA 7SK 7SK RNA